AGGUAUAAAUACUGAGCAAAAAAACUACACAUGACAGUUUUGUGACAAGCUUCUGUUGUACGUAGCAAGCAGCGCUCUUUGCAAAUUACGGAUUUUAUUAUAACAAAAAGAUGCAACGCAACCCCAUGUCUAACGGUAUGCCCUGUGCAUUUGUAUUUGGGCCCAAUAGAUCUCCAGUGGCACCUAACCCUUGUGCCCCUCAAGGACAACGGUUCUCUCCCUGCUUCGGCCCUGCACCCAUGAGCUCAAAUUUACCAAC